rnacentral:rRNA from 1 species
AUUGAACGCUGGCGGCAUGCCUUACACAUGCAAGUCGAACGGCAGCAUGGAGAGCUUGCUCUCUGAUGGCGAGUGGCGAACGGGUGAGUAAAGCAUCGGAACGUACCGUGUAGUGGGGGAUAACGUAGCGAAAGUUACGCUAAUACCGCAUACGCACUGAGGUGGAAAGCAGGGGAUCGCAAGACCUUGCGCUAUACGAGCGGCCGAUGUCAGAUUAGCUAGUUGGUAGGGUAAAGGCCUACCAAGGCGACGAUCUGUAGCGGGUCUGAGAGGAUAAUCCGCCACACUGGGACUGAGACACGGCCCAGACUCCUACGGGAGGCAGCAGUGGGGAAUUUUGGACAAUGGGGGAAACCCUGAUCCAGCCAUGCCGCGUGAGUGAAGAAGGCCUUCGGGUUGUAAAGCUCUUUCGGCUGGGAAGAAAUCGCACAGGCUAAUACUCUGUGUGGAUGACGGUACCAGCAUAAGAAGCACCGGCUAACUACGUGCCAGCCGCCGCGGUAAUAC